rnacentral:rRNA from 1 species
GGCCGCGGUAUCCUGACCGUGCAAAGGUAGCAUAAUCAUUUGUUCCUUAAUUAGGGACUUGUAUGAAUGGCACCACGAGGGUUUAACUGUCUCUUACUUUUAAUCAGUGAAAUUGACCUUCCCGUGAAGAGGCGGGAAUACAUAAAUAAGACGAGAAGACCCUAUGGAGCUUAAAUUAGUGUGUUCAAUCAAAAUUCAAAUUUUACCCAACAGGAAUAACAACAUUUUAACUGAACAACAAAUUUUGGUUGGGGUGACCUCGGAGUACAAAAGAACCCCCGAGCGAUUUAACUAAGACCAACUAGUCAAGGUCAUAUAACAUAUUGAUCCAAUCAUAUUGAUCAACGGAACAAGUUACCCUAGGGAUAACAGCGCAAUCCUAUUUGAGAGUUCAUAUCGACAAUAGGGUUUACGACCUCGAUGUUGGAUCAGGACACCCAAAUGGUGCAGCAGCU